rnacentral:rRNA from 1 species
GUGGGGAAUAUUGCACAAUGGGCGAAAGCCUGAUGCAGCGACGCCGCGUGAGGGAUGACGGCCUUCGGGUUGUAAACCUCUUUCAGCAGGGACGAAGCGCAAGUGACGGUACCUGCAGAAGAAGCACCGGCUAACUACGUGCCAGCAGCCGCGGUAAUACGUAGGGUGCAAGCGUUGUCCGGAAUUACUGGGCGUAAAGAGUUCGUAGGCGGUUUGUCGCGUCGUUUGUGAAAACCAGCAGCUCAACUGCUGGCUUGCAGGCGAUACGGGCAGACUUGAGUACUGCAGGGGAGACUGGAAUUCCUGGUGUAGCGGUGAAAUGCGCAGAUAUCAGGAGGAACACCGGUGGCGAAGGCGGGUCUCUGGGCAGUAACUGACGCUGAGGAACGAAAGCGUGGGUAGCGAACAGGAUUAGAUACCCGGGUAGUCC